UCUUUCUUUCUUUCUUUCUUUCUUUCUUUCUUUCUUUCUUUCUUCCUUCCCCUUUUUCUUUCACUCUUUCUUCCCCUCUUUCUCUUUCUUCUUUCUCUCUCUCUUCCUUCCUUCCUUCCUUCCUUCCUUCCCCUCUUCCCCUCUUUCUUCCCCUCUUUCUCCCCCUCUUUCUCUCACUCUUUAGGCAGUCCCCAAAAGUAGACUGCAGAUAGCUAUUCUGAUGGCAUUGUGUAAAUUCAGUGGUGCAAAUCUCCAAAACUUAUUGAGUUUCAUUGAUUGAAGGAAAUUGAUAUGGCCACCCAACUCAAUCAAGGUGUCUCCAGGUAGUGGUAUGUAUCUCAAUAGUAGUAACCAUGAGAAGGAUCUCACAGUCCUAGUGGGCAAUCAUAUAACUAUGAGCCAGCCGUGUGCUGCAGCUGCCAAUAAGGCCAAUACAAUUCUAGGAUGCAUUAACAGAGUGAUAGAAUCAAGAUCACGUGAAGUGUUAAUACCACUUUAUAAUGCCUUGGUAAGGCCACACUUGGAAUACUGCAUCCAGCUUUGAUCGCCAUGUCACUGCGUUUUUUUAUUUACCAGCUGAGCUCUCAUUUCUGGACUAUCAGACUUUCUGUAGCUUGCCAAGAAUCCUUAUCAGUAAGAUAAACUGCGCAUGUCCUCCACCCACAUUCCUUCUCACACUUUUUCUUUCUUCUCUUGCCAAGAGACAUCCGGCUGCUGAGAAGUAGCCGAUAAGAACUUUUGCAAAAAUGUAACAAUUAAAUUUUAGAUAGUUAGAUGUUUUAUUUUCUUUAUAACAAAUAAAUGAGUUUUCUUAGAAGAUAUAUCUUCCGGUUUGUUUUCUUAAAGUAUGCUGGCAAGGAAAGGUCUCGAUCCGCCCCUCUUAAUCAAGGUGUGAUUAUCCCAAAGGCAGAAUGGGAUUAAUCAGCACCCUGACACGCCAUGAUGUAAAAAAGAUGUUGAGAUUCUAGAAAGAGGGCAGAGAAGAGCAACAAAGAUGAUUAGGGGACUGGAGACUAAAACAGAUGAAGAACGGUUGCAGGAACUGGGUAUGUCUAGUUUAAUGAAAAGAAGGACUAGGGGAGACAUAAUAGCAAUGUUCCAAUAUCUCAGGCGCAGACACAAAGAAGAGGGAGUCAACAUAUUUUCCAAAGCACCUAAAGGCAGGACAAGAAGCCAUGGAUGGAAACUAAUCAAGGAGAGAAAUAACAUAGAACUAAAGAGAAAUUCCCUGAGAGUUAGAACAAUUAUUCCGUGGAACAACUUGCCUCCAGAAAUUGUAAAUGAUCCAACAGUGGACGUUUUUAAGAAGGGAUUGGACAACAUUUGUCUGAAAUGGUAUAGGGUUUCCUGCCUAAGCAGGGGGUUGGACUAGAAAACCUCCAACUUGGACUAGGACAGGGGUCCCCAAUCUUUUGGAUCUCAGGGAUCAUCAAGUUCAUAAUUUUAAAUCUCGUGGACCACUAUUACAAAUCCAGUGCGCUGCUUGCUGAAGCGUCUGGACACCCAGUGAUGGGUUGGGGUCCUUCAGGCACUCUCCCUCCUCUCUCUUUCUCUUUCUCUCUCUCUCCCCCUUCUCUUUCCCUCUCUCUCCCCUCUUUCUCUCUCUCUCCCACUCUUUCUCUCUCAUUCUCUCUUUCCCUCUCUCUCUCCCCUCUCUCAUUCUCUCUCAUCUCUUUCUCUCUCCCUCCUCUUUCUCUCUCUCCCCCACUCUCUCAUUUUGAUUCUCUCAUUCUGAUUCUCUCUCUCUCUGAUUCUCUUUCAUUCUCUGUCUCUUUCUCUUUCUCAUUCUGAUUGUCUCUCAUUCUCUCUCUGAUUCUUUAUCUCUUUCUUUCUCUCUCUCAUUCUCUCUCACUUUCAUUCUGUUUGUCUCUCUGAUUCUCUCUGAUUCUCUCUUUUAUUCUCUUUCUCUCUCUCUCAUUCUCUCUCAUUCUGAUUCUCUCUCAUUCUCUCUCUGUCUGAUUCUCUCUCUUUCAUUCUCUGUCUCUUUCUCUCUCAAUUUCUCUCCUUCUGAUUUUCUCUCCUUCUGAUUCUCUCUUUCAUUCUCUCCCUUUCUCUUUCUCUUUCAUCCUCUGUCUCUUUCUCUCUCUGUGUUAUUCUGUCUCUCUCUCUCUGAUUUUGUCUCUGAUUCUUUCUCUCAUCUUUCUUUAUCUCCCCGUCUCUUUCUCUCUCUCAUCUCUCUCUCCCCCUUUUUCUUUCUUUCUCUCUCUCUGCCACUCUUUCUCAUUCUCUCUCUCUCUUUCAUUCUCUCUCUGAUUCUCUUGCUCUCUCUCAUUCUCUUUCUCUCUCUCAUCUCAUGGGUCAGCCAGUGUCUUGGGGCUGAGGGGAAGUCAAGCAUCUCCCUGAGAGACUGAGGUGCACGGAGCACCAAUGAGGGCUGGAAGAAACGUGGGCAAGAUCCAGCAAGAGAUGGAGCUUCAGUCCAACUCUGGAAUAUGGAACGAGUCUCCAUCCCCCAUCUUUCCCUUCUCAGGCCAGGUGAGGAGUGACUGGGAAGGGAGUGCGAGGGGCAGGGACAGCCACUGGUGGGUUCAGCUGACAGGAAGUUACAGCAGAGGGAAGAAACAGCCCGGGGUUGCCACCACCCGUUACUUCGGCCCACCUGCACUGCCACGCCCCCUUGCACCAUUACCUCAUUCCAGCCAGCGAGGGCUGUGCUGCAAGUUGCACCAACCUCCUCUAUGGUGGAGAUUUACAAACCCACCAUGAGCUGCCUGGCCAGUCCCAUAUUCCAGAGCUCUAGUCACAGGACUGGUCAUUGCUCAUCCCGGAGUAGCUCCUCCACCCGGGUGCACCGCAGACCGCCAAAAUUUUCUCACGGACCACCGGUUGGGAACCACUGGACUAGAAGACCUCCAAGCUCCAUUUCAACUCUUUUUGCUCUACUCUACUCUACUCUACUCUACUCUACUCUACUCUACUCUACUCUAGUUCUGAUUUAGACAAAUAAAAACUCAAAAUAAUCCCGAAUAAACUUCCAUGCCUACAACAAAAAAAAAUCAGUUGGUGGGCUCCAAAUCAUGCUGGAGUUUAUAUUCAACUCUGAGCUAUACAUAUUCUUGCUAUUGCAAACACUAAAACUGCAUUUAUUUAUUUCUUAGCAGGUCUAGUGCUCCUUCCAAAGGAACCUCAAUAAAAUGUGAGAAGCACUCUGGUUGAAAGCUAUAGAGGUAGACGUUAUACAGCAGGGUUGUCCUGCUGUCCAGAGCCAGCCCACAGGGUGUUUAGAUUUGGCCCGCAGGGCCGCUCUGGUGUUGUGGUCCGCCAGCAGCCUGCGGAGUUAUAGAGGUAGACAUGAUACAGCAUCUGCUCUCUCCUGUUGCACCAGUCAAAAGGUCCUUCAAGUUCAUAGCUAAAAGGAGAAUGCAUACCAAAGCCUAAACUGGCCCCAAAGACCUGGACAUCUACGACCAUAUCAUCAACCCUCUUAGCAAUGGAAGACUAAAAUGUCCCAGGAAGAAGCCCGAAAACACUGCUUAUUUUAAAGCUGACUUUAAAAUGUAUCUGCUAUGGGUUUGGGAUGAGAUGACAAUGGCAUGAGGACAUCACAUAAACUGUUUUUCAGGGCACCUGGGAUGAACCUUACAAUCAAAUGACUCAAUAGGAAAUGUUGGGGAUUACAGGCCAAUUUGGAUGAAUGUGGGUUUUUUCACCUAACCCUCCUUCUCCCCACAAGAGGGCAAUAGACUACAACCAGAUUCUAGUAAAGAUCUGUUAACUGGGAAAACUUGUAAAAAUUUUAUGGGGCUCUUUUACCCUCCUCUUGACUCCACUGGUUCUUUGAACUUCCCCCUGAUAGGACAGAUCAUAAAUCUCAAGAAAUGCUUGAGUGAAAACUCCCAUUACUUGAAGUAGAAAUAACAAUCCUAAUAUCUGGUGUCAAAAGGAUGGAGAGCAAUAUCUUCAGGGAGAGAUAUAUCUUCUUGGCAUGCUGGGAAGCAAAGUAAGAAGACAUGAGUCUUGCCAGUUUGAGUAUGAGUUUGAGUUUAUUUAGAUUUAUAUACUGCCCUACUCCCGAAGGACUCAGGGUGGUGAACAGCCAUAGAUAAAACAGAUACACUAUAAAAUUUAAAAAACAAUUUAAAAAAGUUUCCCUUUCCCACAGUCCUAUCAAAUGAGUAACGUAGGCUAAUAAUGUCCUGAAGGUGAGCUUGACCUCUGGUGCUGAAGGGGAAACAGGCUCCAGUUUUCUUGGCAAAGUUAGGAACAUGAUUUGCUUCAUUUUCAGGAUAUUUGUUCUACCUCCUAGUGCAACCUAGAACUCAGAGAUCUCCUUGUGUUUUCCCACCGAGGUAGCAACCCAGCCUAAUGCUGAGUAAUUUCCCACUCCCAGCAAGGAUGGAAAAAUGCAUUUUGGGGUAUUCAAGUGCUGUCCUACAAGUGAUGGCUGGAAGGGAAAAAGGAGGAAUGAAGAUCAUGUCCUUUGACCUCUCUUUCCAUGUUUAGCGUUUUGGAGUAGACCCGUGUCUGGUGGGAAUCAGAUUGAUGCAAAGAUGUAUCAUAGCAUUGGAAAGUUAGAUGCAGGAUGUGAAAUCUCCUGUGAGUUUGCCCUCUUGUACACUUCUGCCUUCUUAUAUGGCCUGACGGAGGUGCAGCCUUUCCUCCAGAUCCCUGAAUAGCAGCUUCCAACCCUUGUGACCAAUAGUCCCAUUGUCAUUCCCAAUAACCCUGGAACACAACUACAAUGAUUUGGCAGAUGGGCCUUGUAAUCACUCACAUAUAGAUACUCUCUAUUUGGAACAAGCUGUGUGGUUAGAAUUCCAUAAAGAAACCCAGAAUCCUUGCUUAAAUUCCAAGUACAAAGAGAAAUCAGAAGACCCAAAGGAUCCUUUCUUUAGAAGAUGCUUUCCUCGAUAAAGGUCAGUGAGGCUGAAAGGAAACCCACCGGAAGGAUCCCAGUUGGAUGCAACACUGACCAUUUACCCCGUUUCUUAUUUAAUAAUGAUCACUCUUCACACAUAUGGUUGAGCUAUUGACAUAUAUUCCCUACCAUGAAUUAUUUUAGCUAGAAUACAACAGAGCCUCCUUCUUUCUCCAAGAGUAUGAGUUAAGAGUAUGAGUUAAGACAAAAGCUUCUAUAUUCUGGGUUUGUGGUGUGUUCUUCUACGUGAGUCAAAGAAAAGAUGAGCAGAUAUCCAAUCCCCAGAAGGUCUGAGCAGGAAGCCACACAGAAGACUGUGUCUGGUUUCUCACUUUCCUGUGUUUCUGGGGACAUAUUUGUCCUCCCUUUCGAAGAUAAAAGAAGAAGAAUGGGAGAUCUGAGGAGCAGGAUUGUUGCCUUGCUGUUGGCCAUCUCCACAGGUGUCCAAUGCCAGGACCGAGUGGAUCCGAAGCCUGUGGAAGUCGUCAAAGAAGGAGAGGAUUCCACCAUCGCCUGUCACUUGGAUGCCAACACUCUCAAUAUAAUGCACUGGUACAAGCAAUAUCCAGGAGAAGGCCCUGCGUUUCUCCUAUCAGUUACAGCAACGGAAUUGGAGAAACGCGGACACUUCAGUGCCUCUUUUGAGAAGCGGAAGGAAAGUCGGUUGAACAUCACAAGAGUGCAGAUGAAAGAUGCCGCGGUCUAUUUCUGCGGGGCCCGAGAUCCACAGCAACACUAAGACACCUGCUGCCUGUACAAAAACCCUCUAAGGCUGAGCAGUUCUGCAAAGGGGAAAUGAAUCUCAUCUGGGUAACUGGGAUGCAGAGAUGGACUAGCUGCAUGUGGGUACAACCUGCAUUAGUAUCAACUGGAAAGUGAAUCAAAGUAUUUUAGAGUAUUGCAAGAAAGAAGAAAUAUACCAGUUGGAUAAGCCCACCAUUGGCAAAAACCCUCUAAGGUCAAGCAGUUCUCUGCUCUCUUUCUUUCUUUCUUUCUUUCUUUCUUUCUUUCUUUCUUU